GCCUGGCUGGCUUAGUUGGUAGAGCAUCUGACUCUCAAUCUCAGGGUCGUGAGUUUGAGCCCCACGCUGGUA
rnacentral:tRNA from 1 species